UUUUGUUCGACAGAUGCUUUGCGAUUUCAUUGAACAAUUUGGAUCCAUUUAUGGAGAAGAAAAAUUUUCAUACACUAUUCACAAUUUGUUACAUUUGCCUGAUUGCAUUGAAAGCUAUGGUAAUGUGGAUUAUUUUUGGAGCUAUAAAUUUGAAAAUUACUUACAAGUUUUAAAGCAAAAUGUCCGUCAACCUACCAAAAUAUUGAUAAAUGACAAAAAUUCUCCACCUUGUGAGUGUGGAAAUAAAAUGAAAAAAAUUGGGUAAGUAAUUACAAUACAUAAUUGUGUAUAUUAAAUUGAUUAAACAAUUAUAGAAGAAGAGGUGCAACAAAUGAAAAACUUAACUUGUGAGCUACAUGUGAAGAUGGAUAAACUGUUAGAGAAAGCAUUUCCGAAAUCUACAAGCCUGGACAUAUUUCAAAUAAAAAGCGUUGAAGAAAUGGAGCAUUUUGAGGAAAAUGCUGAAAUGUUUCCAACAAAUUACGUAGAAAGUUAACUAUUUGUAGCAUUAAAGAAUGUAUAGGUUCAACACCUAUUACAAAAUCUUUACAAUUUAUCAUCACAAAAGAGUGCUUGUUAGCGUACAAUUGGGAUGGGCUGCAGAAGAAAAAAUCAUUAAAAAAACCAACUUAUUUGGAAAAUUUGUGUUUGAUGCUCUGAAGUCCUUCGAAUACGGCUUCCCAAAUUACGAAAAUUAUACAUAUUAAAAAAUCGAUACAAUUAAUAAAAAAUAGGGUG